GACGAACGCUGGCGGCGUGCUUAACACAUGCAAGUCGAACGGAAAGGCCCUGCUUUUGUGGGGUGCUCGAGUGGCGAACGGGUGAGUAACACGCGAGUAACCUGCCCUUGACUUUGGGAUAACUUCAGGAAACUGGGGCUAAUACCGGAUAGGAGCUCUUGCUGCACGGUGGGGGUUGGAAAGUUACGGCGGUUGGGGCUGGACUCGCGGCAUAUCAGCUUGUUGGUGGGGUUGUGGAUUACCAAGGUUUUGACGGGUAGCCGGCCUGAGAGGGUGACCGGCCACAUUGGGACUGAGGUACGACCCAGGCUGCUACGGGAGGCAGCGGUGGGGAAUAGUGCGCAAUGGGCGGAAGCCUGAUGCAGCAACGCCGCGUGCGGGAUGACGGCCUUCGGGUUGUAAACCGCUUUCGCCUGUGACGAAGCGUGAGUGACGGUAAUGGGUAAAGAAGCACCGGCUAACUACGUG
rnacentral:rRNA from 1 species